GCUGAGAAACAAAGUUUUUUUUGUUGUUGUUGAAGAAGAUGAUGCUGCUCAGGCGCAGGCGCGCAGCACAAGAGUUUCUUGAUCUAUCAAACUGUGGAAGAAAAAAAUGGCAACGGAUGAGAAUAAUCCGUCAACUUGGGUUCGCCUCAAUGUGGGAGGAAAACUUUUCUGCACUACUAUUGGUACACUGACUCUCCGCGAGCCUGAUUCGAUGCUAGCUACAAUGUUUGGCGGUCGUCACACUUUGAAGCUUGAAGAUGGGCAUGUUUUGAUUGAUAGAGAUGGAAAUUAUUUUGGGUUUAUUCUUAAUUGGUUAAGAGAUGGUGAUGUUCCUGCUGCUUUAGAAGCUCAUCAGUACAAACAACUUUUAAAAGAGGCAGAUUACUUCCAGCUACGUACGUGGUCUAAAAGAUGGAAUACAUAUUAGUGACUUUACUCGGUUGGAGGUCAUGAAAUAUAUACAGUCGUCAGUCAAAACAUUUCGAGGUGUUAAUCUUUCUGGCGUCGAUCUAUCCAAACUGGAGUUGUCAAGGACAGAUUUCGUCUAUGCAUGUUUGCGAAAUGUAUCCUUCUCAUGUGCAGAUCUUCAUGGGACUAACUUUGACAAGGCAGUUAUUGAGGGUGCUACAUUUGUGAUUCAAAUUUGCAAGACAGUGUGUUUACUGAAGCAAACAUUGGUGAAGUCUCUUUUGUUGGUGCGAAUCUUAAAUGCACAAAGUUCACUCAUGCGAAUCUUGAACGCACAGAUUUCAUUGGACCUAGAUAGGACAAAUUUUUCUAGUGCACGUUUAAGAAAUGUGCGAUUUUCUGGUGCAUCCCUUGAGGGUGCGUGCUUUGAGGAUGUUGAUGCUGAGGGUGUCGUCUUUGACAGUGCAAAUCUUGAGCAAUGUAAAUUUGUCAAGUCAAAUAUCCGGGGAGCUUCUUUCGUUGGCGCUAGACUUGCACAAGGGGAUCUAGCAAGUGCAUGUUUAAUCAAUUGCUACUUUGUUGGGGCAGAAUUGAGUAAUGCACAACUUCAAGAUGCCGAUUUUACAAACACUGACUUAAAGGGGGCCACACUGACAGCAGCCAAUAUGAGGGGUAUCAAAUUGAGUAAUACUGAUUUGAAAGUUGCAAACCUUGUUUAA